AUCACAUCUGAUGCCCCCACUAGAUGAUCAGCUUUGGCAGAUACUGCAUUUGGAUUACUUUUCCAAAUUUUAGUCUACUUGCUCCUCCUGUAGUAACUGCAUCCCUGAAUAGUGCUUUUUUCCACGUGUAGAACAAGGAAAUGGGCUAUCAUCUCCUUAAAGGCAACCUCCACGUGUACUAAUUAAAUUGGAAAGAAACCACCUUCAGCUGGAGCUGACGUUUGGCAUGCUAAGAGAUUGGGGGUGGGGUGGAUUUAGAGUGUGACCCCCAAGGUCCUAUUUAAACCAGAAGACUAGGCAUCACACCAUUGCCUUUGACAGUGGAGAGUCAGACACCCCUUUGCUAGAACGGCUACUGGAAGGUGCUAGAGAAGGAGAAUGGACAGCAACCUAGAUAGGCAGCAGCAAGCAAGGCGAAACCGCUCAUAUACCAUGGUAGGUGGAGUUCUAGAAUCCUACUGGGAUCAGCCACCAAGACGGGAUAUUGCUGUCCAAACUGAAGAAAGCCCUGCUCCCAUGGAGACUACUCCAGAAGCGCAAUUAGCAGGCGAACCAACCAGUAGCCGAGUGGUACCGGUUGUUGUCCGUCAACACACCAGAAGCCAAUCUCUUAGCCAGAUGAUGGGCGUGCAACUCUCCAAGCCCCAGGAUCCGGACCAUGACGAUGAGAAGCUGACCAUUGAAGUAGAGACAGAAGAAAUGCCAGGAAGUGGAGACAUGAAGGAGCUUAGUGUCCUUCAAGAAGCCAUCGAAAGUAAUCUGGCCCAGAUCCUUCAGGAAUCUGAAAUAUUGGACAAUGAAAAAAAUGCUCGCCUGGAAGCCCAAAUGAAAGAUCCACAGUGAUCUCUGCAGCAGAUCCAGCUAUCCAGGGUCUUCAGAUUCUAGUACCGAUGAGCUCCACUUAGAUGUAAUGAGAACUGAAACAAACUGGACUGUCAUGCUAAGUAAAAACUAUAUGAAACUGGUCACACAGCUGCUCCAUAUGAAUGGGCCUAUUGGACAAUUGCAUCUUAGAGUACUGCUGCUGAGGUUAUUACGCAACGUAUUCCAUGAGAUCUCUCUUGGCUCUGACGGAACAAGAAGUGAAAAAGAGACACACUUACCAAAAGAGGGGGGAGAACUUGAUCUUUAGGUACAAAGGUGAAGCACAGGAAUGCAGCAAAUCCCAGUGUUUCUGAUAGCCCACAGGGAUUUUUGGUUUUAAUUGCACCCUACUUUGAAUUGCCUUUUUUUUUUUUUUGGACACUUUCUCAAUUUCUUACCACUUGUUAUCUCUUCCACUGUGGGCUACCAGAAAUCUGGAGAAUUAUGUGAAUCUCUUGUGCAAUUGGUUUCCUUCUCUCCCCCUUCCCCAUUAUUUGUGAAAUGUUUUGAAAAACUAGAGCAAUGAUGAUUCCAGGUAUGCUGCACCCCCUCCAGAUAUCUCUUGGAUUCAACAUCAGUUGUACAAACCUGAGGUCAGCCUUUCAGAAGAACAGCCGGUAAGAACUAUUAGUGCGCCUUCAAUUAGCUAAACCACCUAUGUAAAACUGUACAGACCAGGGUGAGGCAUAGUACAUUUUCAGGAACUGACACUUAGCUGACAAGGAAUCUCAUGAACAUCUGUCCAGUACCUUCCCUAAUACACCCUUGAAGGCAAAGCCGGAAUAUGUUUCACGUGACAAAUGUUUUUCACUGUUCACCUAGAUGGAAAUUGUUGGUAUCGAAGAAGGUUGUAGAUCAUUUGGAUUUUUUUUUUAAAAAAAAAAUAUCUGCCCCAGCUUUCCUGGCUAAUUGGAAAUGGAUUUUGUCUUAAUCUCUCAAUAAAGUUUUUAACCCUG